CAGCAGCCGCGGUAAUACGGAGGGGGCUAGCGUUAUUCGGAAUUACUGGGCGUAAAGCGCACGUAGGCGGCUUCGCAAGUCAGAGGUGAAAGCCUGGGGCUCAACUCCAGAAUUGCCUUUGAGACUGCGUCGCUCGAAUCCGGGAGAGGUGAGUGGAAUUCCGAGUGUAGAGGUGAAAUUCGUAGAUAUUCGGAAGAACACCAGUGGCGAAGGCGGCUCACUGGACCGGUAUUGACGCUGAGGUGCGAAAGCGUGGGGAGCAAACAGGAUUAGAUACCCCCGUAGUCCCUGUCUCUUAUAC
rnacentral:rRNA from 1 species